rfam:Serratia sp. ATCC 39006 ctg2, whole genome shotgun sequence.
GUCAUACUACGGCGCAAUAAGGGUUAAAGUAAACGAUGACCCUUGUGGAACUCUAGGGUAAAAUACGUAUCAAAAUGCAACAUGGUGUCUAACCUGGAAGUUUUGUUCUGGGCUAGGGCGCUUU